UACGGAGGGUGCAAGCGUUGUUCGGAAUCACUGGGCGUAAAGGGCGUGUAGGCGGCCUGUUAAGUCUGAUGUGAAAUCCCCUCGCUCAACGAGGGAACUGCGUCGGAAACUGGCAGGCUUGAGUACCGGAGAGGAAGGUGGAAUUCCCGGUGUAGCGGUGAAAUGACGUAGAUAUCGGGAGGAACACCGGUGGCGAAGGCGGCCUUCUGGACGGAUACUGACGCUGAUACGCGAAAGCGUGGGAGCAAACAGG
rnacentral:rRNA from 1 species